UACGUAGGGUGCAAGCGUUGUCCGGAAUUAUUGGGCGUAAAGAGCUCGUAGGCGGUUUGUCGCGUCGAAUGUGAAAACCCGGGGCUCAACCCCGGGCCUGCAUUCGAUACGGGCAGACUAGAGUUCGGUAGGGGAGUCUGGAAUUCCUGGUGUAGCGGUGAAAUGCGCAGAUAUCAGGAGGAACACCGGUGGCGAAGGCGGGUCUCUGGGCCGUAACUGACGCUGAGGAGCGAAAGCAUGGGGGAGCGAACAGG
rnacentral:rRNA from 1 species